UGGGGAAUCUUGCGCAAUGGGCGAAAGCCUGACGCAGCAACGCCGCGUGCGGGAAGACGGCCUUAGGGUUGUAAACCGCUUUCAGCAGGGACGAAAAUGACGGUACCUGCAGAAGAAGCUCCGGCUAACUACGUGCCAGCAGCCGCGGUAAUACGUAGGGAGCGAGCGUUGUCCGGAUUUAUUGGGCGUAAAGAGCUCGUAGGCGGUUUGGUAAGUCGGGUGUGAAAGCUCCGGGCUCAACUCGGAGAGGUCACUCGAUACUGCCAUGACUGGAGUCCGGUAGGGGGGUGUGGAAUUCCCAGUGUAGCGGUGAAAUGCGCAGAUAUUGGGAGGAACACCAAUGGCGAAGGCAGCACCCUGGGCCGGUACUGACGCUGAGGAGCGAAAGCGUGGGGAGCAAACAGG
rnacentral:rRNA from 1 species